UGCAGUCGAGCGGUAGAGAGAAGCUUGCUUCUCUUGAGAGCGGCGGACGGGUGAGUAAUGCCUAGGAAUCUGCCUGGUAGUGGGGGAUAACGUUCGGAAACGGACGCUAAUACCGCAUACGUCCUACGGGAGAAAGCAGGGGACCUUCGGGCCUUGCGCUAUCAGAUGAGCCUAGGUCGGAUUAGCUAGUUGGUGAGGUAAUGGCUCACCAAGGCGACGAUCCGUAACUGGUCUGAGAGGAUGAUCAGUCACACUGGAACUGAGACACGGUCCAGACUCCUACGGGAGGCACCAGUGGGGAAUAUUGGACAAUGGGCGAAAGCCUGAUCCAGCCAUGCCGCGUGUGUGAAGAAGGUCUUCGGAUUGUAAAGCACUUUAAGUUGGGAGGAAGGGCAGUUGCCUAAUACGUAACUGUUUUGACGUUACCGACAGAAUAAGCACCGGCUAACUCUGUGCCAGCAGCCGCGGUAAUACAGAGGGUGCAAGCGUUAAUCGGAAUUACUGGGCGUAAAGCGCGCGUAGGUGGUUUGUUAAGUUGGAUGUGAAAUCCCCGGGCUCAACCUGGGAACUGCAUUCAAAACUGACUGACUAGAGUAUGGUAGAGGGUGGUGGAAUUUCCUGUGUAGCGGUGAAAUGCGUAGAUAUAGGAAGGAACACCAGUGGCGAAGGCGACCACCUGGACUAAUACUGACACUGA
rnacentral:rRNA from 1 species